GGAGGUGGAGUGUGUGUGUGUGUGUGUGUGUGUGUGUGUGUGUGUGUGUUGGGGGGGCAGCUGUGUGCACAGGCACAGACCCUCAUCUG
rnacentral:miRNA from 1 species